rnacentral:rRNA from 1 species
GACGAACGCUGGCGGCGUGCUUAACACAUGCAAGUCGAACGAUGAAGCUGGAGCUUGCUUCGGUGGAUUAAUGGCGAACGGGUGAGUAACACGUGAGUAACCUGCCCCUGACUCUGGGAUAACUGCUGGAAACGGUAGCUAAUACUGGAUAUGAACCGUACAGGCAUCUGUAGCGGUUGGAAAGAUUUUUUGGUUGGGGAUGGACUCGCGGCCUAUCAGCUUGUUGGUGAGGUAAUGGCUCACCAAGGCGACGACGGGUAGCCGGCCUGAGAGGGUGACCGGCCACAUUGGGACUGAGACACGGCCCAGACUCCUACGGGAGGCAGCAGUGGGGAAUAUUGCACAAUGGGCGAAAGCCUGAUGCAGCAACGCCGCGUGAGGGAUGACGGCCUUCGGGUUGUAAACCUCUUUUAGCAGGGAAGAAGCGAGAGUGACGGUACCUGCAGAAAAAGCGCCGGCUAACUAC